UACAGAGGUCUCAAGCGUUGUUCGGAUUCAUUGGGCGUAAAGGGUGCGUAGGCGGCGCGGUAAGUCGGGUGUGAAAUCUUGGAGCUUAACUCCGAAACUGCAUUCGAUACUGCGGUGCUUGAGGACUGGAGAGGAGACUGGAAUUCAUGGUGUAGCAGUGAAAUGCGUAGAGAUCAUGAGGAAGACCAGUGGCGAAGGCGGGUCUCUGGGCCUUACCUGACGCUGAGGAGCGAAAGCAUGGGGAGCGAACAGG
rnacentral:rRNA from 1 species